rnacentral:lncRNA from 1 species
UGUCGUUUCUGUCUUCUUCAACAACAGAGCCAAACCCUAAUUUUUAAACGCCGCCGCCGCCGCCAAUGACGAGAAGAGGACGAUGACAGGAGAAGGAAGGUGACCGGAGAAGAACGAGGAUUGUCGAAGAACGGAGAGUGGACGUGGUGACCGGAGGAGCCGCCGGAGAAGAUGAACGAAAAGAGUUGCAGGUUGCAGGAGUGUCGGAAACGGAGAAGAUGACUAGAGACGUGGUGGUCACCGGAGAUGGAGUUGAAAGAAGACGGUGUUAACGACAGAGAUGAAUUACGACCGGAGAAGUUACAGGUGGAAUGAUGAGAGGUAAGUUGCAAGCUGUUGUUCGGUGUUGGGAGUCGAAAGGUGUUCGGUGGAUGACGGUGGAGGCGGAUGAUCACGCAUAGAACAAUGUUGAUUUCGGAUGAAAGAGAUGAAUGUUUACGGAUGAGUUGAAUGCCGAUUACGGAUGAAAGAAGUGGUGAAUACGAUCCGAGAUGACGAUUCCGGAUGAUUACAGAUGAUGUCGGAUUGUGAAGUUAAAGAUUACGGAUGAAGAAGCUAUGGAGUCGGAUUGAAUUUCAGAUGGAACGAUGAUUACGGAUUGAAAAGUUAUAUCGGAUGGUAUGCUGAUGAUGAUCUGAUGAUGACGACAGUGAUGUUUGACCAUGAAGUUUGAAGAUGAUGAUUGACCAAUGAUUGUUACGUAUGAGAUGAUGAUGUACGAUGAUUACAGAAAUGAUGAUGUUUGAUUAUUA